rnacentral:rRNA from 1 species
AUUGAACGCUGGCGGCAGGCCUAACACAUGCAAGUCGAGCGAGCGGCGGACGGGUGAGUAAUGUUUGGGAAACUGCCUGUUGUAGGGGGAUAACUACUGGAAACGGUAGCUAAUACCGCAUACCAUCAGAUGUGCCCAGAUGGGAUUAGCUAGUAGGUGGGGUAACGGAUCACCUAGGCGACGAUCCCUAGCUGGUCUGAGAGGAUGACCAGCCACACUGGAACUGAGACAAGGUCCAGACUCCGACGGGAGGCAGCAGUGGGGAAUAUUGCACAAGGGGCGCAAGCCUGAUGCAGCCAUGCCGCGUGUGUGAAGAAGGCCUUCGGGUUGUAAAGCACUUUCAGCGGGGAGGCGUUACCCGCAGAAGAAGCACCGGCUAACUCCGUGCCAGCAGCCGCGGUAAUAC